rnacentral:rRNA from 1 species
UGAGGAAUAUUGGGCAAUGCCCGAAAGGGUGACCCAGCAACGCCGCGUGGAGGAUGAAGGUCGUAAGAUUGUAAACUCCUGUUAGAGGGGAAGAAUAACUAAGUUUGGAGCUUAGUAUGACUGUACCCUCAGAGAAAGCCCCGGCUAACUACGUGCCAGCAGCCGCGGUAAUACGUAGGGGGCAAGCGUUGUCCGGAUUUACUGGGUGUAAAGGGCGCGCAGGCGGAAUGGAAAGUCAGUGGUGAAAUCCUACAGCUUAACUGUAGAACUGCCUUUGAUACUUUCAUUCUUGAGUUCGGGUAGAGAGAGACGGAAUUCCAGGUGUAGUGGUGAAAUACGUAGAUAUCUGGAAGAACACCAGUUGCGAAGGCGGUCUCUUGGUCCGAUACUGACGCUGAGGCGCGAAAGCGUGGGGAGCAAACAGGAUUAGAAACCCGGAGUAG